CUGCUAAAUAACCCGGCCGGCUUUGGCUGGUCGCCGGCUUUUUAGAGGGACUGUCAGCGUCUAGCCGAGGGAAGUUUGAGGCAAUAACAGGUCUGUGAUGCCCUUAGAUGUUUUGGGCCGCACGCGCGCUACACUGACAGAGCCAGCGAGUUUUUUUCCUUGGCCGGAAGGUCUGGGUAAUCUUGUGAAACUCUGUCGUGCUGGGGAUAGAGCAUUGCAAUUAUUGCUCUUCAACGAGGAAUUCCUAGUAGAGCCGUGAGUCAUCAGCUCUGUCGUUUGAUUACGUCCCUGGCCCCUUUG
rnacentral:rRNA from 1 species